rnacentral:rRNA from 1 species
AUUGAACGCUGGCGGCAGGCCUAACACAUGCAAGUCGAACGAGUGGCGGACGGGUGAGUAAUGUCUGGGAAACUGCCUGAUGGAGGGGGAUAACUACGGGAAACGGUAGCUAAUACCGCAUAUGCUUCAAUGUCCAGACGCUGGAUUAGGUAGUUGGUGAGGUAAAGGCGCACAAAGGCGACGUUACCUAGCCGAUCUGAGAGGGUGAUCAGCCACACUGGGACUGAGACACGGCCCAGACUCCUACGGGAGGCAGCAGUAGGGAAUCUUGGGCAAUGGACGGAAGUCUGAUGCAGCCAUGCCGCGUGUAUGAAGAAGGCCUUCGGGUUGUAAAGUACUUUCAGCGGGGAGGCGUUACCCGCAGAAGAAGCACCGGCUAACUCCGUGCCAGCAGCCGCGGUAAUUC